rnacentral:rRNA from 1 species
UCGAGCGGACAGAUGGGAGCUUGCUCCCUGAUGUUAGCGGCGGACGGGUGAGUAACACGUGGGUAACCUGCCUGUAAGACUGGGAUAACUCCGGGAAACCGGGGCUAAUACCGGAUGGUUGUUUGAACCGCAUGGUUCAAACAUAAAAGGUGGCUUCGGCUACCACUUACAGAUGGACCCGCGGCGCAUUAGCUAGUUGGUGAGGUAACGGCUCACCAAGGCAACGAUGCGUAGCCGACCUGAGAGGGUGAUCGGCCACACUGGGACUGAGACACGGCCCAGACUCCUACGGGAGGCAGCAGUAGGGAAUCUUCCGCAAUGGACGAAAGUCUGACGGAGCAACGCCGCGUGAGUGAUGAAGGUUUUCGGAUCGUAAAGCUCUGUUGUUAGGGAAGAACAAGUACCGUUCGAAUAGGGCGGUACCUUGACGGUACCUAACCAGAAAGCCACGGCUAACUACGUGCCAGCAGCCGCGGUAAUACGUAGGUGGCAAGCGUUGUCCGGAAUUAUUGGGCGUAAAGGGCUCGCAGGCGGUUUCUUAAGUCUGAUGUGAAAGCCCCCGGCUCAACCGGGGAGGGUCAUUGGAAACUGGGGAACUUGAGUGCAGAAGAGGAGAGUGGAAUUCCACGUGUAGCGGUGAAAUGCGUAGAGAUGUGGAGGAACACCAGUGGCGAAGGCGACUCUCUGGUCUGUAACUGACGCUGAGGAGCGAAAGCGUGGGGAGCGAACA